UCCCAGCAUUUUAAAGUAUGAAAUCAGAAUUAUUAUAAUUAUUAUUUAUAUAAAAAAUAUUGUUUAUGCUUUGUUACUUCCAGAAUGUGUAUACUGGGAGCUACUGGUCUGUACCCUGGGGGUGAGAUCAGGAGAAGGAACACAAUGAUAACAUAUAAAAAGUGUGUAUACUGGGAGCAUACUGGUCUGUACCCUGUGUGUGUUAGCUCAGGAUAAGGAACACAUGACAGCAUUUUAAACAUUUAUAGAAGAAGCUGAUUGGAUGAGCAGCGAAACGUUUCCAGUAUCACAUCAAAGCAAGUCCAGCUGAAUGCAUGCGACUGCUGCUUGUUACAUUGUUGUUACUGAUCAUCAUGUUGUUACAUUAUUAUUACUGAAGAUCAUAUUGGUUCUGUUACUAUUUCUGAUCGUCUUGUUGUUACAUUAUUAUUUUGUGAGCAUAUUGGUUUUGUUACUACAGUACCGGUAUUACUGAUCAUCAUGUUGUUACAUUAUUAUUCCUGAUAUUGUGUUUGUUACUGAUCAUCUUGUUGUUACAUUAUUAUUACUGAUAUUGUGUUUGUUACUGUUACUGAUCAUCUUGUUGUUACAUUAUUAUUUCUGAUAUUGUGUUUGUUACUGAUCAUCUUGUUGUUACAUUAUUAUUACUGAUAUUGUGUUUGUUACUGUUUCUGAUCAUCAUAUUAUUAUUUUGUGAGCAUAUUGGUUUUGCUACUACAGUACCGGUUUUA